GACGAACGCUGGCGGCGUGCCUAAUACAUGCAAGUGAGACGCAAGGGAACACACUGUGCUUGCACACCGUGUUUUCUUGAGUCGCGAACGGGUGAGUAACGCGUAGGUAACCUGCCUAUUAGCGGGGGAUAACUAUUGGAAACGAUAGCUAAUACCGCAUAAUAUUAAUUAUUGCAUGAUAAUUGAUUGAAAGAUGCAAGCGCAUCACUAGUAGAUGGACCUGCGUUGUAUUAGCUAGUUGGUAAGGUAAGAGCUUACCAAGGCGACGAUACAUAGCCGACCUGAGAGGGUGAUCGGCCACACUGGGACUGAGACACGGCCCAGACUCCUACGGGAGGCAGCAGUAGGGAAUCUUCGGCAAUGGACGAAAGUCUGACCGAGCAAUGCCGCGUGAGUGAAGAAGGUUUUCGGAUCGUAAAGCUCUGUUGUAAGUCAAGAACGUGUGUGAGAGUGGAAAGUUCACACAGGA
rnacentral:rRNA from 1 species